UCCAGGUCACGAGCUGCGGAAAAAGACGCAGAACAAACUCAACUCGACGCAGAAAACGCGCCGCUGCGACAGAAAGUGAAUCAAAGAAGAACAAAGUUUCCUCUUCGGGAGGAAGAAGCCGCUCGUGACGUCACACGCCGGAAACUCCACCACGACGACCCCUGAUGGGCGCGUGGGAGCAGCGGGUCGUAGUUUAACUUCGUUUUUGUUUUCACGUUAUUAGAAAGUUCUUCGCGUCUUUUUAACGUUUUUCUUAUUUAAACGGUUUCAUCGUGGACACACGACGGGGUCGAGCACGUCCAGGUCCGACCCUCCUCAUCACAGAAACUCGGAGACGUGGUCGACUUCGUCCAACGUCUCCAACAACAUGAACUUUCUCUCAAAAGGUCGAUCUUCAGGAAGAUCAUCAAACAGUAGGACUCUUUUCUCUUGAUUCUUGUUGGCCGCCGAGCCUUUACAUGUGUUCAUCAUGGCCGCCGAGCCUUUACAUGUGUUCAUCAUGGCCGCCGAGCCUUUACAUGUGUUCAUCAUGGCCGCCGUGUCAACAUGUCGUUCAUCGGCAUCCAUCUUAUCCUUUCUUCUUCGCUUGUCUGUCUGAGAAUUGUGCAGCUGAUCUGCAGGUUCGACAUGGAGCUGUAGCCGAGGAGAGCAUCUAGUGGUAGUUUCGCGUACUGCAGUAUGAGCGUUUUGUUGUAGGUAAAGUCUGGCUCUGGUGGAUUUGUUUGGACCUGCUGAGCUCGUGAUGUGGACGAAUCAGAUGGCUGAAUGCGUUUGUGUGAGUUGUUGGAUUUAAAGGAUCUUCAGCUCAGCAGUUCAUAUUAAGGUAGAAGACUCAGUGUGGCCUGGUUUGUCCAAAAUGGCUGCCGUGCCAUUGCUUUCAACUUUUCAAUGAGCUUGAAAUAUGGAUAACAAACUUUUCCUUUUUAGGUUGAGUCUACGACGGGUGAGUCCAUAUUUAAAGUUUUCUCUCUUGGACGGUCGCCGUGUCGGCCUCCCCUCUGUUCUCUUUAGACAGGUUCGUUUUUUUAUUUUGUAGAACAGGGGAAUAAAACUUGUGUCCUUGAUUAUUUAAAUUGAAAUGUGCGUUUCGAGAUGAGGGUUGAACAGCUGAGAACAGGGUUUCUGACAACGAGCUCAAAUGAAAUGUAACGAUGUUGGAAUAACCACAAACAUCCUGCUUUUGACAGGAUUAAAAGCAAAUGUGAGUUUCCACCCAAAUCAUUGCUCCAAUAAUAAGUUAAAAACUGACUAUUAAUUAAUGUUUAAACUCUUUAUUUAGUCUGCCCUUAAAAACAAGUAUUACCUUAAAACUGGAGAUUGUUUCUUCAGUCUGACAAAAAUCCAGACUUUGUAAAGCUUGUGUCUAGACCAGUAUAAGUCUGUUUCCCUUGUGAUGCAUGUGAUCCUCCGUCCGUCCAACGUGGCCACUCCAUGGUCCAGCAUUUGGUUCCUGGUGCAUUUCCAACCAUAGAUCCUGAAGGAUCUAACCAACAGUAAGUGCCUGUUCUUCUUUUUGGGCUGGGGUUUUGCUUGGCCACCGUGCCAUACCUGCAUUUCUAUUUCUCCAUUUGUUCAACAGAGGACCACGCACCUGCUUGUGUCCGUCCAAAAUAGUUAAAUGCGCAUACGUUAAAACAUUUUCCCUUGUGUACCACAAGUAAGGAACACUUGUUUUUCGCCGGGCCGCCGUGCCAUGGCAGCGCCUUUUCAGCAGCCGCCGUGCCAAUCUGUCCUCUUGUCGUGGCCGCCGUGUCACGACUGCUUUUCCCGGCCGCCGUGCCGAUCUUUCUAUCAUGGCUGCUGUGCCAUUGCCGUCGGUUCAAUGGUACGGAGCCAUCGUCCGUUUAAAAAUUCGCAAGUUAAUCAAUUAGGAUAAACAUCUCCUGAACUAAAAAUAACACAUUUUCUUAAAUUGUGAACGAAAUAAAUUCAACUUAAUAAAAAUUUGAACGGAGCAUUAAGAUUUAUUUACUUUUUGUUUUGCUCUAGUGAUGGGUGGAAACGGUAUCUUUAGGUAGGUUUGGAACCUUCAAGGUAGUGAUCUAGAAGAACCAAAAUGUUGGGUCAGGACUGGACUGAUGUUGGUUUGUCUGAGAACAGAGCACUGAUUCAGUAAUCUGGUUAGUUUCUGGAAUGUAAAUCAAUCUGAAGGUGCUCUGUUGUGUUGCCACGUGGCCUAAACUUCUAUCUCUGUCCCAUAUGGCCGCCGUGCCUGCCUCUCAUCUGUCAAACCAGUACUGGUACAUUAACAUUUCUCUUUCCAUCCUUCAUUAACUAUUUUUCCUCUGAACAGUAGGUCAUGUUGGAUCAACACUGCCGCAAUUAAUAGCUUGUGGUUUGUCUUGGCCACCGUAAUUUGAUCCAACAUAGCUGACUUUCAGCUUGCACGUCCAUUUCCUGGUGGAGCUGCAUUUCUAUUUUCAUCCUAUAAUUUUAUUUUGUGAUGGAUCUGCAUCUCUAUUUUGCUCCAUCCAACAUGGCCACAUCUGUCCGAAACAUCACAUCUGGCCGCCGUGCCUCUUGCUCUCUUGCCAUGUUUUUCUCUCUCCCAGUGAAAGUGCUUUCUCUUGGCUGCUGUGUCACAUUUUUAUUUCUGUCUAAAAUGGCCGCCGUGCCCGUCUAUCAUAUCUCAUCUUUGUUUCAUUGGCCUGUUUUGUAUUGAAGGUGCAAUGUCACCGUCCUACAAAAAGGCAGACUGUGUGGUUGUCUCUCUGUUCGCUUUGUGUGUGUGAGGACUACCCAACAAUGACGAGGCCUUUGGAUGAAGAAGAGGGCCACGAUGGACCCAACCCUCUUGACGAGGCCCCUUUGCCCCAGGAUGUCUUAAGCUUGACUGCUGUGGCCUGAACCUGCCUCUGUGCCAACGGAUGAAGACUACCAAGGUACUACUACAACAGCAGACCCCUCCCUCCCUGAUGAAGACGGCCACGGCGGACUUCCCUCCUUGAAGAAGACGGCCACAGCGGACCCCCCUCCCUCCCUGAUGAAGACGGCCACAGCGGACCCCCUCCCUCCCUGAUGAAGACGGCCACA